GCCUCAGUAGCUCAGUUGGCCAGAGCAGCCGACUUGUAAUCGGCAGGUCGGGGGUUCGAAUCCCUCCUGGGGCUCCA
rnacentral:tRNA from 2 species